CCCGGCCUAGGAGAUCCUCCCUCCCGAAAAUGUCCCCAAAGCCCGCCCGCCCCCCAGAGGACGGUCUCCCCGGAAGAUGAGCCGGGUACCUCGGAAGGGUGUCUUCCGGACGAUGUCCUCCCAGCAGGAUUCUCUCCCCGGAGAUGCCUGCCCCGCAGAGAAUCCCCUCUUCCAGGAAUAUUUCUGUCCCCCAAGAGAAAUCCCCCCAGAGGAUGUCCCCAUCAGAAGAAUGUCCCCUGGGGAUCACCCCUGGAGGGGCCACGUGUCCACAGGGGCCUCUCUUUCCAAAGCUGGGUGUGUAGGGGUCUCUGUCCUUCUGCUGCAAGCUGGGGGCCUUACUCAGCUCCUGGAAGCUGCUGGCGGACCCCUGUCCCUCCAUAGGCAGUGCAAAGCACAGCCGUUUUCUUUUUGAAGCCACCAGGGGAGUCUUUCUCUCUGGGGUGCCGAGUCUUAUAUAACCAAGAUGACAUGGGCAAGCCGUGGUUUCCUUCACCUUUGCCGUCUUCUCUCAGUUGUAAGAAGGCACUUAGGGGAGAGGGCCACAUGAAGCCUGGGCCACCAGGAGGGUCACCCUGGGGACUGUUCAACACAGCUGAUGCCAGUUCAGCACCUCCUCAGGGCCCUUUCUCUAAGCACUGGCAGAUCUGGGGCAACACAAAGUCACUUUCACCUGCCGUUUCCCAGCACUGUGGGUCCCUUGCUCAUCCACCUUUGACAUCUGCUGGCAGAUACAUGGCAAGGUUGGUGACCUCUUGAAAUAAAAAUCAGGAGUGGCCACUCCAGAUAAAUUUCUUCUGUAACGGCUAUACCACUUCCUUUCAAAACAUUUAGGUAAAACUAAAUCUGGAUUUUGGACUUGGCCAUGAGGAUAGCUCCUGGCAGAGUUGUCUCUGUAAUGAUGGUGGUGGAAAGGUGGAGCGGGCCCCAGCCCAGCCCCUGGGGGACACUGCCAUUUCCUAGCCCUGCAGGCCUGCUGGGCCUGGGAACUGGUGACAUUCCUUGUACUGUGUGCCAGGGACAGCUGUGAACGGAAGUCUUCCAAUCCUGGCCACAAGUACAGGUUAAGGACCCUCUGGGUGCUGGGCCCUAAUCUUUGCUGACCUGUUGACCAUUGUUAGCAGGUGCAGUCUCACCUGGCUGGAACCUGUGGACAUGCAUCGCACUUUCUUAAAACGACAGUGGUGAUUCCGCGAAGUUCUGGGGCUCUGGACAUUUCUGCAAAUCAACUUAUUGCAGUGGCCAGGGCAGGUUUCCCAGGGAGCCUGAGUGAGCUGCCUGCCCUCCUUGUUAGAUGAUUUACAGCUGGGAUCUGGUUACAGCAUCAGAACAGACUGUGAGGUGGAGUCGGGGGGGCUCUGAUGGGGACAUUGAUGGGUGCUGGGUUGUUGUAUAGGGUUUGGGUGAUUUGAGACUUGGGUGGGCAGGCUGCCCCCUCCACUGCCCCAGAAAACAGAAAGACAAGCAUACUGGGUGCUGACAACAUUGUUCCAAGGGGACAGCAUUCCCGCUGCUACCUACUGUCAGCAGGACUAUAGAACCACUUCCCUAAAGAGUAUUAGAGACAUUGCCCAACUUCUGUUUUACAAAUAUCACCACACUGAAUUGCUUCUUUACAAAUAUCACCACACCAAAUUGCUUCUUUAGUUGCUUUUGUGUCGUGUGUGUGUGUGUGUGUGUGCAGAGCUCAUCUCGGGGGCACGCUAAUCCAAGAAGCGCAGGAGCUGCUGCAGGAGACUGUGCAACAGAAUUGCUUCUUCAGAGCGUCCUCUGCAGUCCAGUGACGCCCUGUGUGGCACAGCAUUCCAGAAGGGUUUGCUGUUGAGGCUGGGGAAAGGGGCUGUCUUUCUCUGUCACAUACUCUCUCACACACACACACACACACAGCUCCCAGGCACCCAGGAAGGGCAAUGGUCUCUGCACAUGCAGUGGGUGAUAUGCCCGGAGCAGGCGCUGCUCACAGCUAAGGAGCCCAGCAGAAUUGUGUGUGGCUGGGAGCUUGGAUUACAGCCUUCAUAUCUUCUCCAGGCAAGACCAGUGGCAGCCUCGUGAUUUGGCCCAAGCAUGCCCUGUCCUCAAUCAACCAGCCAAGCAGGGAGCCUUGCUGCCAGUGCCCUGCCGCUCAGUAUUUAUUCGCUGCUAUUUGGGGAGCAGUGGAGCCCAACUGCCUUUCCCAGUCACCCCUGGGUUGCCCUGGGUGGGCCAGGUGGGGGAGUUCAGAUCACUCCCACUCUCAGCCUUCACUGAGUCCCCACCCGCAGCUGCCAGCCAUACAGAAAAUGUCUCUGCGGCAGCAGAUGUUCUGGGGCCCUGGGGGUCCCAGGCACAGAGCCGCUCCUGAGGCUUCCAGGCUCAACAUCAGCGGCGGCUUCUGACCCAUUCAGAUCUUGUCCCCGGUGCACAGUGUACCACGUCUCGCCUCUACAGCAGCAGGCGUGUGAGCGUCUGUGCACGGGCCAGCCUCGUGCCAGCUCCGUUUUCCUUUUCAGAUUCGGGUGCAGUCUGCACCUUCUACAUGACAUGGUGGAGUGUGCAUUACAUAAAGCCCCAGGUUAGAGACAGGACCCCGGGGCCAGGGGAGGUGGGUGCCUUGUGAUCUGCGUCAUGGUGAGGAGGACUUCGGGGACAGAUGGCCAGGGAUGUUCCCAGGUGGUGGAGGAGGCUCCACUGGCAGAGAAGCAGCUUCAAGCUGAAGACAUUGGGGUGCGAUGGCUGGCCAGGACAGCUUGUCUCCUCGUCCGCACACGGAAUGCUGGACUUCACUCUGUGACCCAGCCAGCGGUCUCAUCUCGCAGCCGCAGCUUUCAGCAGGAAGGAGCCCACUGGUGCCUGCCUGACCUACGAGGGAGGGCCCACACCGUUUUGCCCUCCUAACAUUUUGUAUUUGAAGUGCUUGUCAGUCCACAAAAUAAUCACUCAAAACCUGUUACUAUUUUGUUGAUACGUUGUAUCAAGUGAGUGUUAAUAAGUCAUCUAAGUGUAUGCUUUAGUUACAAAUCUUGGAAAAAUAAAAACUUCCUUUUGGAGGAAAAGUGAA